rnacentral:rRNA from 1 species
UGGGGAAUAUUGCACAAUGGGCGAAAGCCUGAUGCAGCAACGCCGCGUGAAGGAUGAAGGUUUUCGGAUCGUAAACUUCUAUCAAUAGGGAAGAAAUAAAUGACGGUACCUAAAUAAGAAGCACCGGCUAACUACGUGCCAGCAGCCGCGGUAAUACGUAGGGUGCAAGCGUUAUCCGGAAUUACUGGGUGUAAAGGGAGAGUAGGCGGUAUGAUAAGCAAGGUGUGAAAGCCUGUAGCUCAACUACAGGAUUGCAUUUUGAACUAUCAAACUAGAGUAUGGGAGAGGUAAGUGGAAUUCCUAGUGUAGCGGUGAAAUGCGUAGAUAUUAGGAAGAACACCAGUGGCGAAGGCGAC